rnacentral:rRNA from 1 species
AAAUUGAAGAGUUUGAUCAUGGCUCAGAUUGAACGCUGGCGGCAGGCCUAACACAUGCAAGUCGAACGGUAACAGGAAGCAGCUUGCUGCUUCGCUGACGAGUGGCGGACGGGUGAGUAAUGUCUGGGAAACUGCCUGAUGGAGGGGGAUAACUACUGGAAACGGUGGCUAAUACCGCAUAACGUCGCAAGACCAAAGAGGGGGACCUUCGGGCCUCUUGCACAUCAGAUGUGCCCAGAUGGGAUUAGCUUGUUGGUGAGGUAA